rnacentral:rRNA from 1 species
UACGUAGGGUGCAAGCGUUGUCCGGAAUUAUUGGGCGUAAAGGGUGUGUAGGCGGUUCCUUAAGUUUGCUGUGAAAUCUCCCGGCUUAACCGGGAGGGUGCGGUGAAUACUGAGGGACUAGAGUACGGGAGAGGAAAGUGGAAUUCCUGGUGUAGCGGUGAAAUGCGUAGAUAUCAGGAGGAACACCGGUGGUGUAGACGGCUUUCUGGACCGUAACUGACGCUGAGACACGAAAGCGUGGGUAGCAAACAGG